rnacentral:rRNA from 1 species
UACGGAGGAUGCAAGCGUUAUCCGGAUUUAUUGGGUUUAAAGGGUGCGCAGGUUGUUUGAUAAGUCAGUGGUGAAAGUCUGUCGCUUAACGGUAGGAUUGCCAUUGAUACUGUUGGACUUGAAUAUGGAUGAGGUAGGCGGAAUGUGUAGUGUAGCGGUGAAAUGCAUAGAUAUUACACAGAACACCGAUUGCGAAGGCAGCUUACUAAUCCAUCAUUGACGCUGAGGCGCGAAAGCGUGGGGAGCAAACA